AGAAUUCAGCAAUGUUGAUUCCACUGACAGGAAACCAGGUUUGAGGACUGAUCCUUAUGCUGUGCAGACGUGGUCUCUUUAAUUUCUGUAUCUGUACCGAUAUAAUGACCACAUAAACAAGUCAAAACUUGGUGUGCUCUUUUGCAGGUCCAACUAUCAAAGGGCCAAGGUUCUUUGUGUGAGAAAAUCACCAGGUCAACAACUCCAUCUUGAUAUUAGACAGUGCCUGCACUACGGAGACGAUACUGAGAAUGGAGAAGGCUAUUCUGAAUGUGCUUCAGUGGAACCUCACCGUUCCUACACCAUAUGUUUUCUUUCUGCAAUUUACAGCGGCCGUGACUUCCUCAGAUUUUAAGAAUGAUAAGGAGGUAAAUAAUACAUACAUACACUAUAUAAUUCAGAAGUACUUAUUGACUGAAUGUAGAUUGCCAGAUUGGUGUUUUCAAAGCCAUCCAUGGUUGAUGCUGCUGAUGCCUACGGCUCUACACAGCUACGCUCAAGCUCAUCCCAAGAAGACCCCUAUAUGGACUGACACCCUCAAGCAUCACACUGGGUUUACUUAAUGUACUCAUGCACACUACAUCACAGCUAAUGUAAGCAUGCACACUACUGAGUUCACAUAAACCUCUCUUUGCUUAAAUGUAGUGUUUAGGGAAUUUUCAGGGAUGCGCACACUGACUGCCACUCAAAGAAAUCCAAGGUGAUGUAUAAGAAGUAUUCUAGCUACAAGCGGGAGGAGUCCAUGCAUGCAUCUGCUACCGAAUUACAAGUAAAUGGGGAUUUCUAUGAAGCGUUUGCUUUAAAGUGCAAUUAAAGGCGAGUCUAACAUUUGAUUUGUUUUGUCAGUUCAAUAAGAAUACAAGAAGGCAUGAUAUUGCUCGGUUUUUAUGAUCUCAGUUCGUUCUAAGAACGUAUGAUUUAUCUUUAUUACUUUGCAGUUCUAUGUAAGUGUUUUGCUGGUCUGUGUAGCAUGCAUGAAUUGUAUCAUCUAAGCUUAUAGAUCUGCAAUACGUUAGAUA